rnacentral:rRNA from 1 species
GAUGAACGCUGGCGGCGUGCCUAAUACAUGCAAGUCGAGCGAACAGACGAGGAGCUUGCUCCUCUGACGUUAGCGGCGGACGGGUGAGUAACACGUGGAUAACCUACCUAUAAGACUGGGAUAACUUCGGGAAACCGGAGCUAAUACCGGAUAAUAUAUUGAACCGCAUGGUUCAAUAGUGAAAGACGGUUUUGCUGUCACUUAUAGAUGGAUCCGCGCCGCAUUAGCUAGUUGGUAAGGUAACGGCUUACCAAGACAACGAUGCCUAGCCGACCUCCGAGGGUGAUCGGCCACAGUGGAACUGAGACUCGGUCCAGACUCCUACGGGAGGCAGCAGUAGGGAAUCUUCCGCAAUGGGCGAAAGCUUGACGGAGCAGCGCCGCGUGAGUGAUGAAGGUCUUCGGAUCGUAAAACUCUGUUAUUAGGGAAGAACAAAUGUGUAAGUAACUAUGAACGUCUUGACGGUACCUAAACAGGAAGCCCCGGCUAACUACGUG